rnacentral:rRNA from 1 species
GAUGAACGCUGGCGGCGUGCCUAACACAUGCAAGUCGAGCGAACCCUUCGGGGUGAGCGGCGGACGGGUGAGUAACGCGUGGGUAACCUGCCCUGUACACACGGAUAACAUACCGAAAGGUAUGCUAAUACGAGAUAACAUAUUUAAUCGCAUGGUUAAGAUAUCAAAGCUCCGGCGGUACAGGAUGGACCCGCGUCUGAUUAGCUAGUUGGUGAGGUAAUGGCUCACCAAGGCGACGAUCAGUAGCCGACCUGAGAGGGUGAUCGGCCACACUGGAACUGAGACACGGUCCAG